rnacentral:rRNA from 1 species
AGUGAACGCUGGCGGUAGGCCUAACACAUGCAAGUCGAACGGCAGCACAGUAAGAGCUUGCUCUUACGGGUGGCGAGUGGCGGACGGGUGGGGAAUACAUCGGAAUCUACUUUUUCGUGGGGGAUAACGUAGGGAAACUUACGCUAAUACCGCAUACGACCUACGGGUGAAAGCAGGGGAUCUUCGGACCUUGCGCGAUUGAAUGAGCCGAUGUCGGAUUAGCUAGUUGGCGGGGUAAAGGCCCACCAAGGCGACGAUCCGUAGCUGGUCUGAGAGGAUGAUCAGCCACACUGGAACUGAGACACGGUCCAGACUCCUACGGGAGGCAGCAGUGGGGAAUAUUGGACAAUGGGCGCAAGCCUGAUCCAGCCAUACCGCGUGGGUGAAGAAGGCCUUCGGGUUGUAACGCCCUUUUGUUGGGAAAGAAAAGCAGCAGGUUAAUACCCCGCUGUUCUGACGGUACCCAAAGAAUAAGCACCGGCUAACUUCGUG